UACGAAGGGGGCUAGCGUUGUUCGGAAUUACUGGGCGUAAAGCGCACGUAGGCGGAUAUUUAAGUCAGGGGUGAAAUCCCAGAGCUCAACUCUGGAACUGCCUUUGAUACUGGGUAUCUCGAGUAUGGAAGAGGUGAGUGGAAUUCCUGGUGUAGAGGUGAAAUUCGUAGAUAUCAGGAGGAACACCGGUGGCGAAGGCGGCUUCCUGGACACUAACUGACGCUGAGACGCGAAAGCGUGGGGAGCAAACAGG
rnacentral:rRNA from 1 species